rnacentral:pre_miRNA from 1 species
AAUUUCAUCUGAAAAAGUCAUCAAUAACAAAGUUGUAUAACUCAUCAAGAUCUAUAACCUCUAUUUUGGUCAUUUCUUCAUCCGAUAAAGUGAUUUGUAAGAUUGUUUAUAAAAUGUACAUCUCUUAUAUAGUUUUUAAAAACUAUAUAAGAGAUGUACAUUUUGUAAACAAUCUUACAAAUCACUUUAUCGGAUCAAGAAAUGACCAAAAUAGAAGUUAUAGAUCUUGAUGAGUUAUACCAUUUUGUUAUUGAUGACUUUUUCAGUUGAAAUC